GACGAACGCUGGCGGCGUGCUUAACACAUGCAAGUCGAACGAAGAGCGAUGGAAUCUUGCUUCUAUCACUCUUAGUGGCGACCGGGUGAGUAACGCGUAAUCAACCUGCCCUUCAGAGGGGGACAACAGUUGGAAACGACUGCUAAUACCGCAUACGAUCUAACCUCGGCAUCGAGGAUAGAUGAAAGGUGGCCUCUACAGGUAAGCUAUCACUGAAGGAGGGGAUUGCGUCUGAUUAGCUAGUUGGAGGGGUAACGGCCCACCAAGGCGAUGAUCAGUAGCCGGUCUGAAAGGAUGAACGGCCACAUUGGGACUGAGACACGGCCCAGACUCCUACGGGAGGCAGCAGUGGGGAAUCUUCCGCAAUGGACGAAAGUCUGACGGAGCAACGCCGCGUGAGUGAUGACGGCCUUCGGGUUGUAAAGCUCUGUUAAUCGGGACGAAAGGCCUUCUUGCGAAUAGUGAGAAGGAUUGACGGUACCGGAAUAGAAAGCCACGGCUAACUACGUG
rnacentral:rRNA from 1 species